AAAAUUCUGCAAAUUCAAAUCUAAAUUCGACAAUAAAAAUCAAAGUCCAAACUCAACCUAAAUCUAACAGAAAAUCCAUAAAAAAAAUUAAACCUAAUCAAAAACCAGAAACCCAAAUCCAAACCCGAAUCAUAUUUCAAAACAUAUUAUAAUAAAGUUUAAAUUUUUAAAAUAUAAUUCAAAUAUAAUAUCAAAUAUUCAUAUAUAGUAUAUAAUGUAAAAUCUUUUCGAGUUUAGAUCGGGUUUGAAUUUGGUUCGGAUACAGACAAAAUUCAUCCAAAACUGAAUUUUUAUUUUUUUAUAAUCAUAUUUGAAACCAUAUUCAUUUAGCAUCGGACAAACCUAACUUCGGAUAU
rnacentral:lncRNA from 1 species